rnacentral:tRNA from 1 species
UGUACUUUAGUUUAUAAAAAAUAUUGGUUUGUGGUGCUAAAGAAGGGUUUUGUCCAGGUACAA